GGCAAGGUAGCUCAGUUGGUUAGAGCACACGGUUCAUACCCGUGCGGUCGCAGGUUCAAGUCCAGCCCUUGCUA
rnacentral:tRNA from 2 species